GUAAGUAUAAUUUAAUUAAAAUAUUAGAUUGUGAUUCUAAAAAUAGGGAUUAAAAUCCCCUUACUUACC
rnacentral:tRNA from 1 species